CCAUCAUCAGAGGUGACUACACAACAGCCCUGCUUUCCUCUACAGUCAACAUUCCAAGGGCGCCUACUACUGUUAUCAAAUGUCUGCCUUGCCUGUCCUGGAAUCAUCGCCUGCAAAUAGAUUUAAAAAGAGCAGCCUUGUUUGGCUACCUUUGAAGUAGCCUCUGGUGUCUUAGGUCAUCCCAAGGACUCAUAUCUAGCCAUGGGCAAUCCUCAUACUGCCCGUACCCAUCGCGAUACUAGUCUGAAUCUUUGAGAUCUCCAUACUUGCUUGUCUCCAAAAUUAUCACCUCUCUUGGUCAGGGCAUCAUCAAAGCUGUCUGUGCCAAGACAAGAAAGGCCCUCUAGCCUGUGUCCCUGGUCAAAUCUUGAUCUCUAGCUCAGCCAAACGAACAAUCACCACGGUUAAUACCCGGCAACGUCUGCUGGAAUUCUCCGUUUCCUAGAGACUUCACUGAGACUCUGGGCACUGAACAGGAAAUCCAGUUCCUUAAACUCAGCAUAACCAAAAUCGUUCAAAAUGUCUGGACUGCUGUGUUCACGGUUCACGUGGCAAGAACACGGCACUGAUAUCUAACCAUCUAAAGAAUCCCUUAAUGGAGUCUUCUCUCACAUCAGAGGGCACGCUGUUCGCCAGGUUGUCUGUGUCAUCAACUGAGCUAACUAGUUUGGGGACAGAGACAUUUCUCCACCAGUCCACCAUCCUUGUGUGCUAAGGAGAUGGUCUUUACUUCUUUCUGUCUCUUUUGCUGAGGCCAUCAUGCUGUACAGGUAUUUUUAAGACCAUCUCGAUAGGUGCCUCACAAAGUUAAAUACACUGAUCAAGCUCAGCUUCAUUUAUAUUUAGCCAACAUGUAAUCUACUAACAUUUCUUCAAGUUAUACAAACUUUGAAAUGCAGUUUCUACAUUUUCAACUUAUUUACUUUUAAAUCACUUGGCAACUAUUUAAAUACUGUAUGAAUAACACUAUUGAUUUUGUGUUUUAUCAAUAUUCCUGAUAUUUUUAGACCUAAAAUUACUUAAUUCUUAUUUUAGAAAAUUCAUUUGUUUUAUGUGU
rnacentral:lncRNA from 1 species